rnacentral:lncRNA from 1 species
GUAUAUAAAGAGCAGCACCUAGCUUUCUCAGUACCCUGGUGGAUGGGUUGGGUCUUGCUUGCUGAGAUAUUUAGUGUAAAAGGAGUUUUUGUUUUUGUUAUUAAAACCUUGAUAAAGUUAUUUUUGAGUUCCUUGUAAUGCGUGGUCUCCCCAGCAAGCUUUCUGCAGCGCAACUAAACUGCAAAUAGCCAACAGGCAACCCCCUGUUUUAGGGGCUACUGAUAUGUGCACAAUAGCUCACAGCACCGAUCCCGGAAGUAACCUGGAAAUGUCAUAAAAGGUGUUUCUAAAAGGGCAAAGCAGGGGAGGGAUGGGCUGGCACGGGGUGCUUUCAGACUGUUUCAGUUGCAUGCGAUUUCACACAGGCUCGCAAUGACCCGGAAUGCAACCUGCAAGCAAAUCUGGGGUUGCCUGUAUAUUAGGCAUAACUGGGCAUACCACAAAAUAUAUGUAUCAGCAGAAAUCCACAUUCUCAGUGGUACUCACUUUCAAGUAGAUUUUUGCAGGACCAAUGCAAUGAACGUACUUAUGCAUGAGCAAACCCUUCUGAGCUCUGAGACACCAGCUUCUUGGUGCUUAGGAUUGCAGUCUGAAUUAAAGGUACAAACGACACAGGAGAUGAAUAAAAAUGAAGGCUCAGUGGUUUCCCCGAGGCAUCUGGUAUCUGGGCAGGCGGCCGGUCCCUUUCCUAAGGUGCAGGGUAGAGGACCAAAGAUCUGAUUCUCGCUCUGUCGCUUGCGGUUGCUUUUAGACAGAAUGCACUGUCAGAAGACCCUGGCAAAGUCUUAAUGCACAUGGACCUAUCUGAAUUGCCAGCAGGGCACUGAAGGUCUCAAGGAGGAGGACGAGGAAUCUUGCCAACUUUCUUACGGUUUACGAAAGCGCCCUCAGCUCGUCAAUUGGUGCUGGCUCUCUCAAGGCCGCCAGGUGAGUGGCUUGAUCUCUGAAGGUUUUGUGAUUUACGGAUACUGGGUUGUGCUGGGCAAAGGACAGGACAGGUAGCCGUGUUGGCUCAAGAAAAACGCCAGAUCCAUCGUCAGGCAAGGCUUUAAUUAGACCUGCCAAAUGUCACAUAAUAACAUUUCAACACUGUUUUUAACACUUUUCCGAGCUCUUAAGGCUAGAACUCGUGGACUUCCAGAAACGCUGAAUGUUGGAAGGUUUGGGAUCAGGGCCAGAUUUAGGUUUGAUGAGAUCCUAAGCUACUGAAGGUCAUGGGGCCCUUUAUAUGUCCAGCUGUCCUUUGCCAACAACAAAUUGUCCCUGUUUCUUGUGUUGAAUAUAUGCUAUAUGGUAAUUUAUGGACCUCAUAGGUAUCUCAAGCCAUUUGCACAUGUUGCCCUGCAACCAGUCCAUGCAGAAUGUAGGCACCCUAUAUAUUGUUGUUGUUUAGUCGUUUAGUUGUGUUCACCUCUUCGUGACCCCCUGGACCAGAGCACACCAGGCACUCCUGUCUUCCACUGCCUCCCGCAGUUUGGUCAAACUCAUGCUGGGAGCUUUGAGAACACUGUCCCACCAUCUCGUCCUCUGUCGUCCCCUUCUCCUUGUGCCCUCCAUCUUUCCCAACAUCAGGGUCUUCUCCUGGGAGUCUUCUCUUCUCCUGAGGUGGCCAAAGUCUUGGAGCCUCAGCUUCAGGAUCUGUCCUUCCAGUGAGCACCCUACAUAUAGAAAGGAGCAAACCAGUGAUAUUUGAGGGAGCAGGCUAGCAGGCGGGGCCCAUGACUCACAUCAUAGGAGCCAACACAACACAAAACACUGUUUCUGCAUGUAGGUUUUAUUUUAUUUGUUUUUUAUAUUUUGGAAAUGUACAUUCAGUUUUUCCCCCCUUUAGUUUUUUUGGGGGCCCCUAAGAGAGUGGGGCCCUAAGCUAGAGCUUGUUUAGCUUAUACGUAAAUCUGGCACUGCUCAGUACAGAUGAAAGGAGGGACGCCUUCACGCAGCGCCUAACUCCCUCCCACAGGAGUCUGAGAUGGCCACCCACCCAUGGAAUCGUAGAAUUGUACAGUUGGAAGGGAUCCUGAGGGUCAUCUAGCCCAACCCCCCUGCAAUGCAGGAAUAAGAGGAUUGGACAAAUCCAUGGGGCAGGAGAGGGCUAUCAAUGGUUACUACAGUCAGGGCCAUCUUAAGCAUAUUCAGUGCCGUGGUGAAAGAUUCUUCCAGCGCCCCCCCCCGGAAGCUCCAAAACAAGGGAGGGGCAGUAGAAAAUGUCCUCUGCCUUUCCCAACACCCUGAUCCAUGGCAUGGCGAUCCAGCAGGAGAACGUGCUGGCAGACAUGCUCUACGGCAUCAGGGCUCCUGAGAAGGCCGGCUGGGAAGGCUGCACACUGCCUUUUGCUAGGAAGCAGAAGGAGGACAACGACCUCUGCGUGGAUUGCUCUCCUCCUGUAAAGGCUUGGGAAGGAAGCUGCAAGCCCGCCUGCCUGCCAUAUAGAAGAAGAAGAAGAAGAGGAGUUUGGAUUUGAUAUCCCGCCUUUCACUCCCUUUAAGGAGUCUCAAAGCGGCUAACAUUCUCCUUUCCCUUCCUCCCCCACAACAAACACUCUGUGAGGUGAGUGGGGCUGAGAGACUUCAAAGAAGUGUGACUGGCCCAAGGUCACCCAGCAGCUGCAUGUGGAGGAGCGGAGACGCGAACCCGGUUCCCCAGAUUACGAGACUACCGCUCUUAACCACUACACCAUACUGGCUCUCAGUUGGCGGGGCACAGCUGGUGGGCGUUCAGGGAAAGGGGAGGCCUCCGGCAAAGCCGCGCAGCUCCCUCACUCGCUGGGGCGCCCCUGAGAGGCCGGCGCCCUGGCGCAACGAACCAUUAACACCAAUGGCAAAGACGGCUUUGACCACAGUUGCAGGCACUGUGGGAAUAGGAUGCUGGAUGAGAUUCCUGCAUUUCGGGGGUGGACUGGAUGACCUUUGGGGGUCCCUUUCAACUCUGAUUCUAUGACUAGAUGGGCCAUGGGCCUGAUCCAGAGGGCUCUUCUUAUGUUUUCGACGUUGAAACAAGUGGGAAGACAGUAGGAGGAAACAAAUGUGGUUGAUAUUGUAGCCGCAGAGUUUUCAUUCCGUCUCAGGGUAUGUGGGAGGUGGUAGCAGAUGAUGAGAUUAAGUUGCACCAUGGGGGUGCCAGGGAGCCUCUGGGCUGCAACACAGGCUUGCUGGGACAAAGAAAAUGACAGAGGUCGAUCACUUUUGAAACUAUAACACCUAGCUGUCCCUUGGAUCUUAGGCAGAAGGCACAGGUCAUCUGGAAGAUUGAGAACAGAAGCAAAAGUGAAACUAGACAACAUUUAUAGUAACAAAGCUGGAAAUGAAUUUUAGACCGCAUACUAGGGCGACCGCAUACUGGGCAAUAUGGCCAGUCUUCAAUAUGGCGUUAUAUCAGCAGCCAAACAUUGCAAUACAUUAGUCCUUGCAGUUACGUAAACUUCAGGAUACGAAAGUGGCAAACCUGGAAGUAUUUGACUGAGUUUCUCCCCGCGCACAUGCGUAGAAGCGGUCCUCAGGCUGUAGAAACCUCAGGAUCCGACCAAACCUCCAGAACGGAUCCCAUCCGCAACUGGAGGUACUACUGUAUAUUGAUAUACCAUGAUAUCCGAAAUAAGGAAGGAACUAUGCAGAGGUGAACAGGCAAACGUCCUGGCAACUGCUACUAAACCGGAUGAAUGACAGUAUUAUCAAUCAUCACACACUCAGUUUCAUCAGCAGGGAAGCCAGAAUGCAUCCCAACAGGACUUUUGGUUUUGGACUUGGCUAUCAAACGGUGAUAUUUGGAUUCAUCAGGUUCAUGCAGGCAAUGAAGAGCACAUCCUUCCACCAUGGUUAGCUGAUUUCUGAUUUCCACUUUUUAUAUGGUUCAUAUUUUUAGGUAUGGUUAUUCUGAGCCACUUUGAUUUUUUCCUUUUUGAUGAAUUAGCAGUAUAUGAAUAUUUUUCUAUAAAUAAGACUGAUAAAGUGGGAAACUUAAAUGGACAGAUUAGCCCAUCGCUCACUUGUCGUUCAGAUUAUGCCUGCAAAUCUAUGUAUCCUUUCAUAGCCUUGGAUGCUGGGUAGGGAUGGGAGCAGUUUGGUUCAGUUGGCAUUUCAGGGUGAAUCUUUAAAUUCGGUGCUUUCCAAAGCAACAGGCAAUCCAAAACUUGGCUGCCUUUCAAAAUUUGCACAUAUUGGAAUUCUGCCAUGCAAAAUGCAUGUAUUAGGGGAAAACUGAGCUUAGCAAGAGCUAUUUUAGUGCAAAUAACACCUGGAAACGUUUGUGUUUAUGUCAUGAAAUUUAUAUGCUGCUUGAAUGUGGAAAAGCAAGAAAACCCUCAAAGUAGUUGAAACGCAUUACAUUUGGGGAAAUUCCUUGCAAAAAUAUGCACAUUGGUCAAAACUGCGUGCAAGGAUGUGCUCAUUAGGAGAAAUUUGCCCUGAAAUGCUGCUGAAAUUUCCAUGAGGGUUUUCUCUCGCUAAAGAAAUUGCAGAUUGUUGCAGCGGGGUGGAGAACUGAAUUUAAUGUUGGAAACAUGGCAGACUGAGGGAGCCGUGAUGGACGAGCCCUUUCCUUCCUUGUACGGAAUGGCCCUCUGCAUUUUUCUGGGGCCUUAAUACGACUCUGACUCACAGGCUCCAGUGGAUGGCUACCUUGAGCUGGCCUGGCUUGUCCUCGGCUCCUGAAUGCUCCCAGAACUACCUAGGCAGGGCAUGGGAAAAAGCACCACACGAUCCCCGCAGUGCCAACACGCUCCUCUCCAAAUGGUCCACACCCUUCCGAUUGCUGCAGACAGUUUUCCCCCUCCUUACCCGUUUGCUUUCCUGACAGCCGUGUGAAUUUCUUCAAUGCAAAUCCUCUGGCGGGAUGUUCUGUGCUCUGCCUUUUGGCGCUUGUCCCUGUUGGAUUCUCUGUUGAUUUAUGGAUUCCGUUUGUCGGAGAGCAGAAAUCGGAAGGCCGUUCCUCCCCCUCGUGGCGGGAGAAGCAUCCUUGCUGUACCCAGACCUUCCUAGAGAAGUUUUCUGUUCUGAACGCCUCAUCUUUCCUUCUGAAUGUGACUGUUGACCCAACUUGGUGCCUCAACUCUUCAGCUGUGGCUCGCGAUCUACAAGCAAGUAACUAGAACCGUGGGCUCCCAUUGAAGCUGAAUUUUGGAAGAUUCAGGACAGACAGAAUGAAAGGUCUUCUUCACGCAGCAGGAGGCAAUGUUGGCCACCAACCUAGAUGGUUUAAAAAGCUUUUCACAGAGGUGUGGUUCCUUGGACAUGACACUGUAUAGCUUCCUGGCCAACAGCACAGAGUGAAAGCUCAUUAAAUAACCGAGAUCAUCCAAUCCCUCAGCAAACAAUUUAGGAGGAAGGCUUGACAAAUAGGUCAUUGGGAAGCACCUCUCAGAUCUCACGAAAAUGAUUGACCCAUGCCUGGGUUAUAGUGCUUUAGGCCAUUUGAGAAGUCCCACCCAAGGAGGGGGGGAAAUGUGGAUGUAGAAAACCAAGAUGUCAGGGACAGCUUCCCCCCUGAGUUGCUGACUUUCUGCAUGCAAGGAAUUUUUUAUUUGUGGGAUGGAGCAUUGGUUUGAACUAGUUCACACCCUGUUUUAGUGACGACCCAACUGCUUAGAACUCCUUGUUCACACUCAGCGCCCGGCCAGAGGACAGACAACUUGACGGAGAACAGCAGACGAUAAAGAGUUUUCCAAACAUGGGCAUGAGAAAGAAGAAUGUUGCAAGCGUUUCAUAUUAAAGGAAUUGUGGGCGAAAUCUG